GACGAACGCUGGCGGCGUGCUUAACACAUGCAAGUCGAACGGAAAGGCCCUGCUUUUGUGGGGUGCUCGAGUGGCGAACGGGUGAGUAACACGUGAGUAACCUGCCCUUGACUUUGAGAUAACUUCAGUAAACUGGGUCUAAUACCGCAUAGGAACUCUUGCUGCAGGGUGGGGGCUGGAAAGUUUCGGCCGUUUGGGAUGGACUCGCGGCUUAUCAGCUUGUUGGUGGGCUAGUUGCUUACCAAGGCUUUGACGGGUAGCCGGCCUGAGAGGGUGACCGGCCUCAUUGGGACAGAGAUAAGGCACAGACUCCUACGGGAGGCAGAAGUGGGGAAUAUUGCACAAUAGGCGGAGGCCUGAUGCAACAACGCCGCGUGCGGGAUAACGGCCUUCGGGUUGUAAACCGCUUUCGCCUGUGACGAAGCGUGAGUGGCGGUAAUGGGUAAAGAAGCACCGGCUAACUACGUG
rnacentral:rRNA from 1 species